rnacentral:rRNA from 1 species
UACAGAGGUCUCAAGCGUUGUUCGGAUUCAUUGGGCGUAAAGGGUGCGUAGGUGGCGGGGCAAGUCUGGUGUGAAAUCCCGGGGCUCAACCCCGGAACUGCACUGGAUACUGCCUUGCUAGAGCACUGGAGAGGGAACUGGAAUUUACGGUGUAGCAGUGAAAUGCGUAGAUAUCGUAAGGAAGACCAGUGGCGAAGGCGAGUUCCUGGGACAGUUGCUGACACUGAGGCACGAAGGCUAGGGGAGCGAACGGGG